rfam:Loxodonta africana unplaced genomic scaffold scaffold_3, whole genome shotgun sequence.
CUACAGGCUUUGCUAAAAGCCAGUCCACAAACACAAUAAAAAUUUU